GAUCCGGAGCGGCGCUAAACACGCGCCGCGGGCAGCGGCAUCAGGAGGGAGGCUCGGCAGGGAGAGCCCGGCUCUGGCGCCCCGUGCUCGGGGUGGGGGAGGCCGCGCGGAGUUGCCCGGCUCGGCUUUCCCUGAAGCGCGGCGGUCGCUGCCCUAAUGUGGCGUCCCCUUGCCGGGCCAGAACCAGUAGUGCGCAUGCGCAGAAGAUUUUAAACCUUCACUGGAUACGGCCGCCCUGGCAACCGCCCAUGCGCACUGGGAGUGGUGCCGGCUCGCUGAGGGAGGUGGCUCGGAACGUUCCUUCGGCAUCUCCCGGCGCGUGGAAUUUUGGAACCGUUCGGAAAAUCCGAGCAGGGUGAUGAUCUUUUGGUCCAUGUUGCUGUGCAAACACAAUGGUACCGUAGCUGCCUCCAGGAUGGACGGCAACUAGGCAGCGGGUGCUCAAAGUUUAUAUAGGCACAACAAGUGCACCAAGGUUCUGAGGUAAAAUUGGUAGCUCCCUGGUUGGAACCUGUUUGAACUAGUUCUGUGCUGACCGUUAACUGCUUUUCCUGACAAAGUUCCAAAAGGGCACGAAAAUUUCAAGAAGAAACCAAACAAAGAUGGAGUCGAACUGUUGUUUGUUGGGCACGCCAUUUUGAAUUUCAGACUCCAUAUCUAAUACAUAGUCAAAUACCUUAAUCAAAUGUAAAGGCAUAAAGAAUAACUUAUUUUAAAGCACAAAACAACUCAAUCUCUAUUUAAUAUGCAAAAACAUGUUACAUUUCCUCUCCUUGAUAGUCCUGAGUAAAUUCUGAAGGUACUAUCAUUACACAGACACAUAGAGGUGGAAAGUGCUAUAACAAUAAAACAAUUUAAAUAACCUUAAGAUCAUACAAAACUGUCAUUUAACAAAGUGCAAUAUAACUGUGCAAUAUAAUGAUUAUUACAAUGCAUGUAAAGUGCAAACCUUAACAAUUGAACUUUGUUAAAUCAAAAGGCAUAAUAACAACUUUCUUUUUAUGAGAGCAACAAGAAUAUAUGGUCAAACCCACGAGGUAAAAGAUUAUUAAUGUUUGAAUGAUCAGUACCACUAUGAUGGGGUGCAUCAUUAUUUCCCACACUUGCCUAAUAUCCUCUGAAUUGGUAUGGAAAAUAUUCUCCCACCAGUGUGAAGGAUGAGUUUCUUCCUCCACUUGUUUUAACACUCAUUUUAUUAUUGCUACAGAGUGACAUACUGUUAGUAAAGUGCUCAUUCCCUCUACCUGCAGUCGUUGUAUAUAAUAUCCCAAAUGCUUAUGGUGCAUUAGGUGCCUUAAGGCAUUAAGAUCUGCCCCUGUGUGCACCAGUUCAAUAUAUUGGUACACUGCAUAAUGAGUCCUAAACAUUUCCAAUUGCACAUUAUGUAAUGUAAUCUUGGAUAGAAAAUAUUGAAGACAGAUUGAAACUAGAGUUAUUUAUACUUUCAUGGAACAUGUUGACAAUAAAGCGCUUAAAUAAACUA